UACAGUUGGAAGAGAGCUGUGGAUUGCGAGAAAAUGAUGUGAAGUUACUGAAAAGAGUUGUAGACUAUUGCAUGAAUAAUGGUAUUGCAUUAACUCAGGCCUGCUAUCUGGAGAAAGAAGAAAAGUGUCUUCCUCCCCCUAGUAUUUGAGUAGUGAUAACGGUGGAACAAACAGAACAAGAACUGGACAAGGCUGCAUCACUCAUUAAGGAAGCUGCACGGUCUGUGCUAAAUUAGACUGCUAUUUCAGAUACCUUCCUCAAAUUAUCAGGAGACAUGUUUUACGCUCUAUAGUGUCUUGGCUUCCA